GGUUCAAUGGCGUAGUGGUUAUCGCAUCUGUCUUACAUUGACUUCGCACAGAAGGUCUCCGGUUCGAUCCCGGGUUGAACCA